rnacentral:rRNA from 1 species
GACGAACGCUGGCGGCGUGCCUAAUACAUGCAAGUCGAACGCAGUGGGGACGGGUGAGUAACACGUGGGUAACCUCCCAUCAGAGGGGAUAACACUUGGAAACAGGUGCUAAACCGAUACUGAUGGAUGAACCCGCGGUGCAUUAGCUAGUUGGUGAGGUAACGGCUCACCAAGGCCACGAUGCAUAGCCGCCCUGAGGGGGGGAUCGGCCACACGGGAACUGGGACAGGGCCCAGACUCCUACGGGAGGCAGCGGGAGGGAAUCUUCGGCAGUGGACGAAAUUCUGACCGAGCAACCCCGCGGGAGUGAAGAGGUGUGUCGGAUCGUAAAACUCUGUUGUUAGAGAAGCGGUAUCUAACCAGAAAGCCACGGCUAACUACGUGCCAGCAGCCGCGGUAAUU